UAGGGAAUCUUCGGCAAUGGGGGCAACCCUGACCGAGCAACGCCGCGUGAGUGAAGAAGGUUUUCGGAUCGUAAAGCUCUGUUGUAAGAGAAGAACGUGUGUGAGAGUGGAAAGUUCACACAGUGACGGUAACUUACCAGAAAGGGACGGCUAACUACGUGCCAGCAGCCGCGGUAAUACGUAGGUGCCGAGCGUUGUCCGGAUUUAUUGGGCGUAAAGCGAGCGCAGGCGGUUUAAUAAGUCUGAAGUUAAAGGCAGUGGCUUAACCAUUGUUCGCUUUGGAAACUGUUGAACUUGAGUGCAGAAGGGGAGAGUGGAAUUCCCUGUGUAGCGGUGAAAUGCGUAGAUAAUUGGAGGAAAACCGGUGGCGGAAGCGGCUCUCUUGUCUGUAACUGACGCUGAGGGUCGAAAGCGUGGGGGGCAAACAGG
rnacentral:rRNA from 1 species